GGGGCUGUAACGGUUUCGACGUUUUGGCGAACGAGACUUUGUGAUGCAGGUCGAGAGUGAGUCUCCUCUCGCAAAUCCAAGGCUCAAACAGUGUACAUGCGAACAACAUCGUACCCUUUGCUCGUAAGCAAGCACUAGUUGCUGCCUAAAAACCUCUCAUAGGUUCGAGCUUCUGCAGUUUGACUCCGUUAAGGACUGUGGAACUACCCCCAACGGAUGCUUCAGCUAGCCACCUCUGGUUGGCUACUGACUAAGACUUUACCAGAGAAUCCCAUCGCUUGGGAUAAGAGGCGAUCCCCGCUUCGAGGGUAACCGAAGCUAAACCUGUGAAUGAAUGGAGUCCUAAUAACCAUGGCGGACACGGGUUCGACUCCCGUCAGCUCCAUGA
rnacentral:tmRNA from 1 species